rnacentral:rRNA from 1 species
ACUCCUACGGGAGGCAGCAGUGGGGAAUUUUGGACAAUGGGCGAAAGCCUGAUCCAGCAAUGCCGCGUGAGUGAAGAAGGCCUUCGGGUUGUAAAGCUCUUUUGUCAGGGAAGAAACGGUGAAAGCUAAUAUCUUUUGCUAAUGACGGUACCUGAAGAAUAAGCACCGGCUAACUACGUGCCAGCAGCCGCGGUAAUACGUAGGGUGCAAGCGUUAAUCGGAAUUACUGGGCGUAAAGCGUGCGCAGGCGGUUUUGUAAGUCUGAUGUGAAAUCCCCGGGCUCAACCUGGGAAUUGCAUUGGAGACUGCAAGGCUAGAAUCUGGCAGAGGGGGGUAGAAUUCCACGUGUAGCAGUGAAAUGCGUAGAUAUGUGGAGGAACACCGAUGGCGAAGGCAGCCCCCUGGGUCAAGAUUGACGCUCAUGCACGAAAGCGUGGGGAGCAAACAGGAUUAGAUACCCGUGUAGUCCCAUGA